rnacentral:rRNA from 1 species
GGGUUUGAUCCUGGCUCAGAACGAACGUUGGCGGCGUGGAUUAGGCAUGCAAGUCGAACGCGAAAGUUUCCUUCGGGGAGCGAGUAGAGUGGCGAACGGGUGAGUAAUGCGUAGAUGACCUACCCAGAUGAUCGGGACAACCACUCGAAAGGGUGGCUAAUACCGGAUGUGGUCGGAUUCCUGCGGGUUUCCUACGAAAGAUGGCCUCUGACUCAAGCUGUCGCAUUUGGAGGGGUUUACGUGCUAUUAGCUUGUUGGUGGGGUAACGGCCUACCAAGGCGAUGAUGGCUAGCCGGCCUGAGAGGGUGUCCGGCCACACUGGGACUGAGACACUGCCCAGACUCCUACGGGAGGCUGCAGUCGAGAAUCUGCCGCGUGUGCGAUGAAGGCUUUCGGGUUGUAAAGCACUGUUGGAAGGGCGUAAUUGCCAUCGGUUAAUACCCGUGUGGUUUGAACUCCCUUCGGAGGAAGCACCGGCUAAAUUCGUGCCAGCAGCCGCGGUAAUACGAAUGGUGCAAACGUUGUUCGGAAUCACUGGGCAUAAAGAGCACGUAGGCGGUCCAGUCAGUCAGCUGUGAAAUCCCUCGGCUCAACCGAGGAACUGCAGCUGAUACUGCUGGACUAGAGUACGGGAGGGGAGAGCGGAAUUCCUGGUGGAGCGGUGAUAUGCGUAGAUAUCAGGAGGAACGCCGGAGGCGAAAGCGGCUCUCUGGUCCGUUACUGACGCUGAGGUGCGAAAGCUAGGGGAGCAAACAGGAUUAGAUACCCUGGUAGUCCUAGCUGUAAACGAUGGGCACUAAGUAGGGGGACUCCCAAGGUCUCCCUGCCGGAGCUAAUGUGUUAAGUGCCCCGCCUGGGAAGUACGGUCGCAAGGCUGAAACUCAAAGGAAUUGACGGGGGCUCACACAAGCGGUGGAGCAUGUUGUUUAAUUCGACGCAACGCGAAGAACCUUACCUGGGCUUGACAUUCAAGUGGUACCAAACCGAAAGGGGCGGGACCGUCUUUUGGCGGAGCUUGAACAGGUAUUGCAUGGCUGUCGUCAGCUCGUGUCGUGAGAUGUUGGGUUAAGUCCCGUAACGAGCGCAACCCUUGUCCUUAGUUGCCAGCGGAUCAUGCCGGGGACUCUAGGGAGACUGCCGGUGUUAAACCGGAGGAAGGCGGGGAUGACGUCAAGUCAUCAUGGUCCUUACGCCCAGGGCUACAAACGUGCUACAAUGGUCGGUACAAAGAGACGCUAGACCGCGAGGUCACGCAAAUCUCAAAAAGCCGGCCCCAGUUCGGAUUGGAGGCUGCAAUUCGCCUCCAUGAAGUCGGAAUCGCUAGUAAUCGCAGAUCAGCUACGCUGCGGUGAAUAUGUUCCUGAGCCUUGUACACACCGCCCGUCAAGCCACCCAAAUAGGCAGCACCCGAAGUCGCAGACCCAACCUUAGGGAGGGAUGCGCCGAAGGUGAGGUUUGUGAGGGGGACUAAGUCGUAACAAGGUAGCCGUAGGGGAACCUGCGGCUG